CUCGAUCAUAGCCUAUCACAGGCUCACGAGUUCAAUUCGAGGGGUUACAUUUACUUAUGCCUAUGCGGAGGGACAAGUUAACUCACGAAAGCAUAAAUCAUAUGUAACCCGAAAGUAUUCACUAGCCUGUGCGGAGGGACGAGUUAACUCACGAAGGCGUAGCGUUUACUUUCACUUAAACGGACGGAGCCCGGGUAGAGAGCUCAUGUUAUGCGAAAAUGCAAGUGCACGGUGUGUGGGGAACAACUCAUAAACCUUUAC
rnacentral:lncRNA from 1 species